GAGAACAAGUGGAAGCAGGAGGAUCACAUCCAAGCCAGGGCAACCCUGAAGAUGACUGCGCUGGCCGCACUCCAAGACGGCGUUCCCUGCAUUCCCAUCAUCUUCACUCCCUGUCGAAUUCUCUCAUCAACUCCGAAGAGUUAGUUGUGGUUGGGAUCUGCUCCGAUGUCAAUCGCUAUAGCCUCAGCGAUGCAUUAUAAUGAUGCAGCAAGAGCCUCUGCCCUUGAUACAGAAAAUGCGGCAGAACCUGAAUGAGAAGAUAGCGAAGUCAAACGCUGCAAUUGAUGAUACCUCAGCGGAACUGAGAACAGAGGAUGGUCACAUUAACCCCAAUAACUUUUUUUAGGACUAGUCAGCUGCUUGAUUUGUGGCUACAUAUCAGUACGAGAAAGUUUUCGAGAUGAGCAUGUCGAAUGUAAAUUCCAUUUUUGCGUUUGGCCACCUCGUUGAUCAACAAUGUCCGCACCCUUGAUGGAGAGGGGCAUUUGCUUUGAAGUGUGAGAGAACGUCGUCUCUCGAAAACUGAACUGGCAUUACAUCCGAGGCAACGCCAAGCGCAAAAAUUUAUGACCAUGGUGAAGAAAUAGUCUCUGCUGGAAGGCGAGACGGUGACAAGUAGUCUAUACCCAGCGACCUUUGGAGCACAACCCUUAACCAGCAACUCAUUGGACUGGCUCUCACAUGGAGAGUGCAGACACGCGAGGAGAUGCGCCUUCAGGACCGCGUCCCCAGAUAAGUACAUUUCAUGACUUCAUUGUUCAAUUUGAAGUUGACUGCAACACAAGACAUUUCGCUUGUCAAGGAAAGAGACCCAACAUAGGGCCACGUUGCUUGCUGAUCUGCCCAUAAGAGGACCUGAAAGCGCCAUCCCACCAUCCACUCUAGCCCUGGAGCUACCAGCCUACUCUGCGACCUCGUCGUCAACCAUGCAGGGACAUGCGGCCACCACACGUUUGGAUAUGUUACCACCUUCCGAAAUGGAGGAGUGAGGGUUUAGAGUCAGGAAGCUCAAGCAUAUCCCAAACCAUACUGAAAACUUGCUUCUUUCGACACGAUGCUCCACCGCAGCUGUGAUGAUGUCGGCAAACUUCAGUAGCGUUUUAUCAGAUUAAUGAACGAUCCAUCUCACUGAGUAGAUUCUACAGUAAACACAACCUUUGUCACCAGCAUCAACUCAUCAGCAAUGUGCUCAACUUGCUUGCUACAGCACCAGGUGAUCGAUUCAAGUCACGACCACUGAAUGGGGAUAUCCUCGAUGGAACUAAGCUCUGGAUCCACUAUCAUUUUCAUGGAGAACCUAGAGAACCGGAGUCUUAAAAUGGUGGCUUUUAUUAAAACUUGAUUAAACCAGAUGAUUAGUAAAGUGAUCUAAGCUGGGCGUCAUUGAGGUUCACGAGUGUCAGGAAGGAAUUUGCGUUUGUGCUCAUCGAAAUCCAUCCUUGUUGUUGAAUGAGAGUCCUGAGUAUAAUUAUAUAUAUAUAUAUAUAUAUAUACAUAUGUGUAAUGUAUGAUUUAUUAUAUAUUUAUUUA